AGAGAGGAAAGAACCCUGGGAACGGGAGGCGAAGGGAUAAUGAGCUGGGGAUGGGAGCAGUCGCAGGAAGAAUCCUCUGCCUGGAGCCGGCAGGCUCCAACCCCUCAGCUUGAGAGUCAGGAGCCCCAUAGUCCCCACAGCAAUAGGAAGCACCAGCUCCUGGUCCCGAAAAAAGGAGGGCCCCAACUCCAGGGACUGCGGCCCGCCCUGGAGCUGAGAACACGCGGACUCCAGGGAGAGGACAGGGCUUCAGGGACCCGAGAGCCGCUCUGAGCACCGGGGGAUGUGACUGCCUCAGCGGCAGAGCUGGAAGGGCCCUCGAAUGCCAUUCACAGGAACAGCCCAGGAACCCAGGGACUUCAGAAGGGCUGGUUUGUCCGAAAAGUGAGAGGAGGCGGAGGAGAGGAAGGGAGAGGGAGAAAAGGGGAGAGAAAAGGUGAAGGGCCUGCGAGGUCAAGCUGCAGAGAACAUGAGCUUCUACCUCCAGAUGUGCCAGGGUGCAUCUCGAUAAACUUGGAUUUUGGCCAGGCGCGGUGGCUCAGGCCUGUAAUCCCAGCUCUGGAAGCUGAAGGAUAGCUUGAGCCCAGGAGUUCGAGGCUGCAGUGAGCUAUGAUCUCACCACUACACUCCAGCCUGGGUGACAGCAAGAGAUCUUGUCUCAGAAAUAAAUAAAUAAAAUUUAAAAAUAAAAAUAAU
rnacentral:lncRNA from 1 species